rnacentral:lncRNA from 1 species
AUGCCUUUCAGUACAAUCUUGUUUCUGGAGCCAUCAGGAUGGAAAAGGAAGAAUUUUCUGGGAGGUGCAAAGGCUGCCCUGAAGACUACCUAUACCUUGGUUGGAUCAUCAGAGAAUAGGAGAAGGUAGAGACAUCCGCGUAGCAGUUUGAAGAGGGGAAUAUCUUGAUCCUGGGUGCUGUGGAUCCUUGGGAUCAGGAAGAGCAACCAAGAUUUCAAGUCUCACAACUAGAAGAGAGUGGAGCUCCAAGGACUGUCACACUUUCGAUGUGGUGUAGGACACAGAGGAUGCCCUGUGGAUGGUCAUGAGGAUCAUGGUUAGCAGCCUGCCCAGAUCGUUUGUGCUCAACCAGUAAUGGCAGACCAGUUUUCGCCAGAGGCCUCAAGGCACAGGAAGGUGAGAUAGCUCAGUGCUGCUUCAGCGGUGGGAGUCUCAGAAGGGGCACCAAGAGUCCGACGCUUUACUUUCUGCCAAUGUCAAUUCAGGUCAGUGGAUGCUCAAGUCAGAACGAGAGUUCUUUUGUUUUAGACUAAACCAUGCCAUUGUAGCUGUUUUC